rnacentral:rRNA from 1 species
GACGAACGCUGGCGGCGUGCUUAACACAUGCAAGUCGAACGGAAAGGCCCUGCUUUUGUGGGGUGCUCGAGUGGCGAACGGGUGAGUAACACGUGAGUAACCUGCCCUUGACUUUGGGAUAACUUCAGGAAACUGGGGCUAAUACCGGAUAGGAGCUCCUGCUGCAUGGUGGGGGUUGGAAAGUUUCGGCGGUUGGGAUGGACUCGCGGCUUAUCAGCUUGUUGGUGGGGCAGUGGCUUACCAAGGCUUUGACGGGUAGCCGGCCUGAGAGGGUGACCGGCCACAUUGGGACUGAGAUACGGCCCAGACUCCUACGGGAGGCAGCAGUGGGGAAUAUUGCACAAUGGGCGGAAGCCUGAUGCAGCAACGCCGCGUGCGGGAUGACGGCCUUCGGGUUGUAAACCGCUUUCGCCUGUGACGAAGCGUGAGUGACGGUAAUGGGUAAAGAAGCACCGGCUAACUACGUG